CCAGUGGAGAGUAUAAGUACUCAAAACUCGAAAGAAUUCCUAUCUUACCACUGAGAAAGAUAAGAGAGGGAAAAACAAACCUUGCCCUUCAGUAUCAUGACAUUGAAAUUGCUGCUGGUCCUCCUCAAAGGAAGCGGUAAAGCUUCAAGGUUUUU